rnacentral:rRNA from 1 species
GACGAACGCUGGCGGCGUGCUUAACACAUGCAAGUCGAACGAUGAAGCCGGAGCUUGCUCCGGUGGAUUAGUGGCGAACGGGUGAGUAUCACGUGAGCAAUCUGCCCUUGACUCUGGGAUAACUGCGGGAAACUGUAGCUAAUACCGGAUACGACACCUUGGGGCAUCCUAGGGUGUGGAAAGAAUUUCGGUCAAGGAUGAGCUCGCGGCCUAUCAGCUAGUUGGUGAGGUAAUGGCUCACCAAGGCGACGACGGGUAGCCGGCCUGAGAGGGUGACCGGCCACACUGGAACUGAGACACGGUCCAGACUCCUACGGGAGGCAGCAGUGGGGAAUAUUGCACAAUGGGCGAAAGCCUGAUGCAGCAACGCCGCGUGAGGGAUGAAGGCCUUCGGGUUGUAAACCUCUUUUAGCAGGGAAGAAGCGAAAGUGACGGUACCUGCAGAAAAAGCACCGGCUAACUACGUGCCAGCCGCCGCAGUAA